rnacentral:lncRNA from 1 species
GGACAACAGGAGGACGCAAGAUGUCCUUCACUCUUUAUGAGUUCACAUAAGCCACAAACCUCCACCACGGGAGAGGGAGAUGGGAAAUCUGAGUGGUUCCAUAUUCUAUCUAAAAGCACUAUUUAAAUGAUUGCGUCAGGCUAAUAUUUACAGACUGGAUAUAGAUUAAACGCAGUCUUCCUUCUCUACUUUCCAGGGUAUGGGGGCUUUCGAGGAAGAUGGCUAUCCCGGCUUUGGGGUGGAACUAAGUCAAGAGGAGCAAAGGAGUAGAAACGGUUAUAGAAAUGUGUUAUGAGAACCUGCAUUGAAAACCUGGCUGAACAUUAGUAGUGUGAGACCUUUGCUUGGUUCCCACUUCUCCUCGGACUCAAGAGUAGGAGGUGGCUGCAGUCUGAAGGCUCACUGACCUCAGUCUUCAAAAAAUGGACAACGGUGAGAGAUCCAUGUGCCCUGGGAUCACAGAGAUUGCAGGCAUUCCUAAGAAAUCCACUUGGAAAUGACUUUUGUCUUUACUUCUUUGGUCUGGAUCAUAGUUCUGCUGUUUUCCCUUCGUUCAAUAAACAUCAAAGAUUUGCUCUACUCCAAGCAUGGCACUAGAUUCUCUGUGUGUCAAGAAGAUCCUCCGGCUACUUCAAGCCUGGAUGGGGUACAGAUGACUUUACUCCCAAAUAAAGGUGAGAAAAGAGGCCCA